rnacentral:rRNA from 1 species
GUCCACGCGGUAAACGAUGACGACUAGGUGUGGGGGGGUUAAGUCCCUUCCGUGCCGCAGCUAACGCAUUAAGUCGUCCGCCUGGGGAGUACGGCCGCAAGGUUGAAACUCAAAGGAAUUGACGGGGGCCCGCACAAGCGGUGGAGCAUGUGGUUCAAUUCGAUGCAGAGCGAAGAACCUUACCUGGGCUUGACAUGUAGGAAGUAGAGACCCGAAAGGGCGACGACCUGUUGAGUCAGGAACCUACACAGGUGGUGCAUGGCUGUCGU